GAUGAACGCUGGCGGCGUGCCUAAUACAUGCCAGUCGAGCGAACGGACGAGAAGCUUGCUUCUCUGAUGUUAGCGGCGGACGGGUGAGUAACACGUGGAUAACCUACCUAUAAGACUGGGAUAACUUCGGGAAACCGGAGCUAAUACCGGAUAAUAUUUUGAACCGCAUGGUUCAAAAGUGAAAGACGGUCUUGCUGUCACUUAUAGAUGGAUCCGCGCGGCAUUAGCUAGUUGGUAAGGUAACGGCUUACCAAGGCAACGAUGCAUAGCCGACCUGAGAGGGUGAUCGGCCACACUGGAACUGAGACACGGUCCAGACUCCUACGGGAGGCAGCAGUAGGGAAUCUUCCGCAAUGGGCGAAAGCCUGACGGAGCAACGCCGCGUGGGUGAUGAAGGUCUUCGGAUCGUAAAACUCUGUUAUUAGGGAAGAAAAUAUGUGUAAGUAACUGUGCACAUCUUGACGGUACCUAAUCAGAAAGCCACGGCUAACUACGUG
rnacentral:rRNA from 1 species